rnacentral:rRNA from 1 species
AUGGUUAAGUUAGAAAGGGCGCACGGUGGAUGCCUUGGCACUAGGAGCCGAUGAAGGACGGGACGAACACCGAUAUGCUUCGGGGAGCUGUAAGCAAGCUUUGAUCCGGAGAUUUCCGAAUGGGGAAACCCACUGCUCGUAAUGGAGUAGUAUCCAUACUUGAAUACAUAGAGUAUGAGAAGGCAUACCCGGGGAACUGAAACAUCUAAGUACCCGGAGGAAGAGAAAGCAAAUGCGAUUCCCUGAGUAGCGGCGAGCGAAACGGGAACAGCCCAAACCAAGAGGCUUGCCUCUUGGGGUUGUAGGACACUCUAUACGGAGUUACAAAGGAACGAUAUAAGCGAAGAGGUCUGGAAAGGCCCGCCAAAGAAGGUAACAGCCCUGUAACUGAAAUGUUGUUCUCUCCAGAGUGGAUCCUGAGUACGGCGGAACACGUGAAAUUCCGUCGGAAUCCGGGAGGACCAUCUCCCAAGGCUAAAUACUCCCUAGUGACCGAUAGUGAACCAGUACCGUGAGGGAAAGGUGAAAAGCACCCCGGAAGGGGAGUGAAAUAGAUCCUGAAACCGUGUGCCUACAAGUAGUCAGAGCCCGUUAACGGGUGAUGGCGUGCCUUUUGUAGAAUGAACCGGCGAGUUACGAUCCCGUGCAAGGUUAAGCAGAAGAUGCGGAGCCGCAGCGAAAGCGAGUCUGAAUAGGGCGCAUGAGUACGUGGUCGUAGACCCGAAACCAGGUGAUCUACCCAUGUCCAGGGUGAAGUUCAGGUAACACUGAAUGGAGGCCCGAACCCACGCACGUUGAAAAGUGCGGGGAUGAGGUGUGGGUAGGGGUGAAAUGCCAAUCGAACCUGGAGAUAGCUGGUUCUCUCCGAAAUAGCUUUAGGGCUAGCCUCAAGGUAAGAGUCUCGGAGGUAGAGCACUGAUUGGACUAGGGGCCCCUACCGGGUUACCGAAUUCAGUCAAACUCCGAAUGCCGAUGACUUAUCCUUGGGAGUCAGACUGCGAGUGAUAAGAUCCGUAGUCGAAAGGGAAACAGCCCAGACCGCCAGCUAAGGUCCCAAAGUAUACGUUAAGUGGAAAAGGAUGUGGAGUUGCUUAGACAACCAGGAUGUUGGCUUAGAAGCAGCCACCAUUUAAAGAGUGCGUAAUAGCUCACUGGUCGAGUGACUCUGCGCCGAAAAUGUACCGGGGCUAAACGUAUCACCGAAGCUGCGGACUGUUCUUACGAACAGUGGUAGGAGAGCGUUCUAAGGG